GUAAGAAUAACAGCAGCAGAAAGAAACAUGUUGGCAAAAUCCUAAUGAAAAAUAGUGCUGCCAAGACUGGAACAAAGACUUGUGUGAACGGAAUAGCACA